AUGCACAAAUUACAAAGUUGGCAAGGUCUGCAUAUCUUCCUUGUCUCUCACAUAGCACACUGCUCCUCAUCUCCAUAUCUCCUCAUUUGGGCCUGGCUUCUUAAAACUUUCUUUUCUCUGCUUGAACUCAGGAAUCAUCAGGAAAAGCCAGUAACAUCAGUGGUGUCCAUUGAAUGGCUCAGAUUUGAGAAAACCCAGGCUUCUGGAAGCAGUGAUAGAGCAGCUGCAGCCAGAGGCUCCCACAUGGUGGCCUGGAGAAUAUGGUAUUUCCAUCCACAAACCAAGCACCAGGAGAGUCAAGGAGCUGAAACUACUCAGUGUGUUUAAAAUGGGUCCACUUCUGGUUGCUUAUCUUUGCUCCCAAGUAAUUAAAACACCACCACAAUACCUGGAUCACUUUUGCUUGGUACCUGGUGCCUCGUCUUGAAAGUCAGAGAGUGUUUUUCAGGAAGAAGACGCCCAUCUUCUCAUUGAGCAAGUGCAAAGAGUCAAACACAUCUCACUGAGCCACACUGCACCUGGAGAUGUAUCCAGGGGGAGAUAUGCAAAAAUGCACAGCAGCCCCAGGUUUCCUCCUAGCAUUUCCUGUCAGCUGUCUGGCUAUCUACCAGGGAAAAAGAAAAACCUCCUAAUACGGUUCCUGUGGGAAUUUGAAUUACUACAGACAAGGCCAGAAAUCUCCUCAGUCUACCCUUUGCUCAUAGAGGUGUCUCCUCCUUCUUCAACUUGCCUGCUAUUAAACAGAGCUUUUUAUAGUACCCAGACUAUGUCAGCCCUCUCAGAUGAAUUACUUUUUCUGAAGGAAAAAAAAAAGGGAAAAUAA
rnacentral:lncRNA from 1 species